UAUCCUACUAACUGAAAGCCGCUCUGGAUAAGAGCGUCUGCUAAAUGACUAAAA
rfam:Salmo salar isolate Sally breed double haploid chromosome ssa01, whole genome shotgun sequence.